UACGUAGGGUGCGAGCGUUUAAUCGGAAUUACUGGGCGUAAAGCGUGCGUAGGCGGUUCGUUAAGUUCGUUGUGAAAGCCCCGGGCUCAACCUGGGAAUGGCAAUGGAAACUGGCGGGCUGGAGUAUGGCAGAGGGGGGUGGAAUUCCGCGUGUAGCAGUGAAAUGCGUAGAGAUGUGGAGGAACACCAGUGGCGAAGGCGACUCUUUGGCCUGUAACUGACACUGAGGCGCGGAAAGCGUG
rnacentral:rRNA from 1 species